rnacentral:rRNA from 1 species
UACGUAGGUGGCAAGCGUUGUCCGGAUUUACUGGGCGUAAAGAGCGCGCAGGCGGUUGUGCAAGUCGCGUGUGAAAGCCCCCGGCUCAACUGGGGAGGGUCACGCGAUACUGCUCGACUUGAAGGCAGGAGAGGGAAGUGGAAUUCCCGGUGUAGUGGUGAAAUGCGUAGAUAUCUGGAGGAACACCGGUGGCGAAGGCGGCGUUCUGGACUGCUACUGACACUGAGGAACGAAAGCCAGGGGAGCAAACGGG